CUGCUUUGGCAGCACAUAUGCUAAAACUGGAACAAUACAAGAUUAGUAUGACUUCUAUGUAUGGAUGACACACAAAUCCGUGAAGAGUUCCAUAUUUUU
rnacentral:snRNA from 1 species